CCAGUCUUCUGGCUGCUCCCAGCCUGCUCUCCUCCCUCCUUCCCAGCUCCUGGAGGGGCCAGGGCAGCCUGGACCCCCUGAUUCUCGACGGCGCGGCUCCUUCUGACCGCUCUCCGCUGGAUGGAAGAGGAAAAAGGAUUUUAUAAAAAGACAGCCUUGACGUGCACACUUGAGUGCAACAUAAACGUCCUCCUCUUAGAAGAUUCUCCACAUCACCAGGAAGGCGAAGACUGAAGAACCAAGAAAGGAACACGCGGGUGUGAGAGGCCUGGGUGGGCCCGGCCCCGCCCCCCACCCCGUCUGUUUGUGCAGAAGCGGGACUUGGAAGAGCCGCGGGAAGGGUGGGAAGUGGAUCCCCUGAACUAAGCUAAUUCGACCGCUGUUGACGCUGACAUGGCCCAGGGAGCCCACCUGGAGGCGAGGUGGGUUCCUUGGCUGCAGUGGCUCACAGUGGCUCACAGACGCGGGGAAACUGCUCACCAGUUUAUUGUAAAUGGAAACGCUGAGGCCAGGCCAAGUAUCCAGAUGGAAGUGAUGCGCAGGGCAAGGUGUCCAGCAUAUUCUGUGAGGAUAUAAUGGUGACCCUGGUGGUGACAGAAGUUUCCUGCCCACGUGGAGGAUCCCAUCUGGUGGGCAAGACAGAUCCUCAUGAAAACCCCACCCUCAUCACCACCCUCACUUUGCAAACAAAGAAGCUGCAGCUCAACACUCACUGGUCAAGUUGAAGGCCAUGGAGCUACUGAGUGAGCAGAAGCCAGAGGAAAAGGAGUUUGAGCCUCCCCAGUCCCAUUCUGGACCCGGGUGCAGAGACUCUCAAAGGAAAGUCUUGCUUCUGCUCCUGGGUGUUGCAGAGGACAGGCUGGCACCUGUUAGGUUUUCUAGAUUCCUGCUAUGAGUGAGACCAUCCGGGAUUUUUCUUUUUCUUCCUGGCUUAUUUCACUCAGCAGUGUGCUUCGGUCUUUCUGCCUGCUCUGCUCCCCGCUCUGGCUCUGGUGACUCCUCUCGCCCCCGCGCGUCUGGCCUGUA